rnacentral:rRNA from 1 species
CCUACGGGAGGCUGCAGUGGGGAAUAUUGGACAAUGGGCGAAAGCCUGAUCCAGCCAUGCCGCGUGUGUGAAGAAGGCCUUCGGGUUGUAAAGCACUUUCAGUGGGGAAGAAAGCCUUGGGGCUAAUACCCUCGAGGAAGGACAUCACCCACAGAAGAAGCACCGGCUAACUCCGUGCCAGCAGCCGCGGUAAUACGGAGGGUGCGAGCGUUAAUCGGAAUUACUGGGCGUAAAGCGCGCGUAGGCGGUCUGAUAAGCCGGUUGUGAAAGCCCCGGGCUCAACCUGGGAACGGCAUCCGGAACUGUCAGGCUGGAGUGCAGGAGAGGAAGGUAGAAUUCCCGGUGUAGCGGUGAAAUGCGUAGAGAUCGGGAGGAAUACCAGUGGCGAAGGCGGCCUUCUGGACUGACACUGACGCUGAGGUGCGAAAGCGUGGGUAGCAAACAGGAUUAGAUACCCGGGUAGUC